rnacentral:lncRNA from 1 species
AUAUAUCUAGCUAGCAUCAAUCAAACCUCAUGUAGAACCACGAACAUGACACACACUUCUUCCAUGCCAUGGCUGGUGGGAUGGACGAUGCUUGCUCCAUGCUUUGACUAGGAGUAGGACACGAUAGGCGGGGAGCGCUCGGCAUCGGGCGGUCAUCCAUGAAGCGGGUGGCGUGGAUGCCAUGCGGCUCGUCGUCGGGCGUAGACGCGGGCACGAUCAUGAAGCGGAUGUCCAGCUCCGGGAUCUCUAUCCAGUGGCACAACUGCUCCAAUCGGUUCUGAAUCCCGGAAGAUAGUGUUAUGGAGUCACAAUUCAUGGCCACGUAAGCUAGCUUCCUGAGGGUCUCUUUCCAAGAAUCCAUCCACCAGGCUGGCUGCUAGCUAGCUUGCCGGAUAGUGCUAAUCUAAUCUUUUUUUAUAUGUCUAAGCAUGUUGUCUCUAGCCAUCUAAUCGAUUCUUGAUUCUUAUCAUCCAUCAAUAUUCUCCAAGGCAUCAAACUAAUCAUAAAAUGUCUCUUGUGAAGUCCUGAACUUUCUCUUGUAAUCCUUUUUGAGAAAAACAUUAUGCACAACUAGUGUAAUAACUAAUUUCAAGUAGGAUACUUGAGUAUAUAAUAUAAAACUUUCAUAAAAGUAGAAAUAAAAUUCAGAAAAAUCAAUUUUUUGCAUGGUAGAUAAUUUAGUAUGCGAGGUACGCUUCAAAUUUCAGCUCAUUUGGACAUUUGAGUAGUUGUCACCGAAAAAGACAAUUUGGGUCAAAAAAUACAUGAAUACAAUUUGGCUAUUUUGCCGAGGGAUACUAAGAUGUCCAAAUGAUUUGAAAUUUGGAGCACACCGCACGCACCAAAUUCUCUACCAUGCAUUUUUUAGAAUUUUUCUAAUAUAUUUUUGGAAUUUUUUAUGCAUCUAAGGUGUAGAUGAGCUUGGGCACCGAACCGUUGCUUUGUGUAAUGAUGUAUUUUUUGACUUUGUCACCCGUUUCUCUUGGUUUUUUCAGGUUGGGAUAUAAUAAGAAAUCUGAGAAGGUUUGCCCGUUGAUGGCAUAGGUUAACAAGAGACUUAUGAGGCUUUAUGAUGUAAUUAGAUAUGAUUGCUAGUUGUAUAUGUUGGUUGUCGUGUGAUGUGAGAUAGUAUGUUUGUACUUUUGUAUGUUGUAUGACGAAGCUUGAAAAUAAAUCAUAUAGUGGAAUUUGAAUGUGCA